CACGUAGGGUGCGAGCGUUGUCCGGAAUUAUUGGGCGUAAAGAGCUCGUAGGCGGUGUGUCGCGUCGGCCGUGAAAACCUGCAGCUUAACUGUGGGCUUGCGGUCGAUACGGGCAUCACUGGAGUUCGGCAGGGGAGACUGGAAUUCCUGGUGUAGCGGUGAAAUGCGCAGAUAUCAGGAGGAACACCGGUGGCGAAGGCGGGUCUCUGGGCCGAUACUGACGCUGAGGAGCGAAAGCGUGGGGAGCGAACACG
rnacentral:rRNA from 1 species